GAGCAAAGGCGUCUGAUGGAAUCAAAUGGCCCAGUUUGCAUUGAAGGUUGGCAAUAUAGUAAAGUGAUUCUCCUUACCUCUCAAAUUCAUACAUUUUGAGAAGGCCUCGAACAAGUCAUAAACACU